CCUACGGGGAGCAGCAGUAGGGAAUCUUUCACAAUGGGCGAAAGCCUGAUGGAGCAACGCCGCGUGCAGGAUGAAGGCCUUCGGGUUGUAAACUGCUUUUAUAAGCGAGAAAUAUGAUGGUAACUUAUGAAUAAGGAUCGGAUAACUACGUGCCAGCAGCCGCGGUCAUACGUAGGAUCCGAGCAUUAUCCGGAGUGACUGGGUGUAAAGAGUUGCGUAGGUGGCAUAAUAAGUAGCUAGUGAAAUCUGGUGGCUCAACCAUUCAGACUAUUAGCUAAACUGUUAAGCUCGAGACCGUUAGGGGUAACUGGAAUUUCUAGUGUAGGAGUGAAAUCCGUAGAUAUUAGAAGGAACACCAAUAGCGUAGGCAGGUUGCUGGGACGGUUCUGACACUAAGGCACGAAAGCGUAGGGAGCAAACGGGAUUAGAUACCCCAGUAGUC
rnacentral:rRNA from 1 species